UCGCCGACCGAAGAAUCGCCAUCGCAGCUCCCGAACGCAGAGCUCCCUGACGCUCUCAUCUUCCGCUGUGGGCAAAGUCCCCGGAGACGCAGAUUUACUGUCCCGUCCGUACUGGAAAGCGUCUGGCGUUAAGCAAGUCAGAAUCCUCGGACCAUGCAUGGACGCGGUCAAGGGCCCGGAGGCACGCGCUCAUCCUUCGUGGUAGCAGUCGCCCUCUCCUUCGACCGAAUCUGCAGCUCGUUCUUGGACAAUCGAGGUGCUCUGCCCCGCAAGGGGCAAGGACGCGGGGUCGCGAAGAUAUGAGCGAUCCCGUUGUCUGAGUGCCUUGGUUGGCUCGAGGCGAGCAUCGUUGCUCAUAGACAAAGUUAUGCGAUUGCCUGCAAUUCAUAUUGCAUUGGUCAACUCAAUGGGGCUUGCUCUUGUGUCGGCG
rnacentral:RNase_MRP_RNA from 2 species